UACGGGGGGAGCAAGCGUUGUUCGGAUUUACUGGGCGUAAAGGGCGCGUAGGCGGCUUGGCAAGUUGGAUGUGAAAGCCCAGGGCUCAACCCUGGAAUUGCAUUCAAGACUGCCUUGCUUGAAUUCGGUAGAGGUUGGUGGAAUUCCCAGUGUAGAGGUGAAAUUCGUAGAGAUUGGGAAGAACACCCGUGGCGAAGGCGGCCAACUGGACCGACAUUGACGCUGAGGCGCGAAAGCGUGGGGAUCAAACAGG
rnacentral:rRNA from 1 species